rnacentral:rRNA from 1 species
UACGUAGGGUGCAAGCGUUGUUCGGAAUUACUGGGCGUAAAGGGCUCGUAGGCGGCCAACUAAGUCAGACGUGAAAUCCCUCGGCUUAACCGGGGAACUGCGUCUGAUACUGGAUGGCUGGAGGUUGGGAGAGGGAUGCGGAAUUCCAGGUGUAGCGGUGAAAUGCGUAGAUAUCUGGAGGAACACCGGUGGCGAAGGCGGCAUCCUGGACCAAUUCUGACGCUGAGGAGCGAAAGCCAGGGGAGCAAACGGG